CCACCCUUUAAUGUUUGAUGUUCUAACGUGGACCCGUAAUCCGGGUUGCGGACAGUGUCUGGUGGGUAGUUUGACUGGGGCGGUCUCCUCCUAAAGAGUAACGGAGGAGCACGAAGGUUGGCUAAUCCUGGUCGGACAUCAGGAGGUUAGUGCAAUGGCAUAAGCCAGCUUGACUGCGAGCGUGACGGCGCGAGCAGGUGCGAAAGCAGGUCAUAGUGAUCCGGUGGUUCUGAAUGGAAGGGCCAUCGCUCAACGGAUAAAAGGUACUCCGGGGAUAACAGGCUGAUACCGCCCAAGAGUUCAUAUCGACGGCGGUGUUUGGCACCUCGAUGUCGGCUCAUCACAUCCUGGGGCUGAAGUAGGUCCCAAGGGUAUGGCUGUUCGCCAUUUAAAGUGGUACGCGAGCUGGGUUUAGAACGUCGUGAGACAGUUCGGUCCCUAUCUGCCGUGGGCGCUGGAGAACUGAGGGGGGCUGCUCCUAGUACGAGAGGACCGGAGUGGACGCAUCACUGGUGUUCGGGUUGUCAUGCCAAUGGCACUGCCCGGUAGCUAAAUGCGGAAGAGAUAAGUGCUGAAAGCAUCUAAGCACGAAACUUGCCCCGAGAUGAGUUCUCCCUGAGACUUAGAG
rnacentral:rRNA from 1 species